rnacentral:snRNA from 1 species
UUGCUUCAGCAGCACAUACAGUAAAACUGAAAUAACAUAGAGAGGAUUAGCAUGGCCCCUGCCCAAGUAUGAGGUACAAAUUUCUGAGGUGUUCUCAUAUUAA